GAUGAACGCUGACAGAAUGCUUAACACAUGCAAGUCAACUGUGGCGGACGGGUGAGUAACGCGUAAAGAACUUGCCUCACAGCUAGGGACAACAUUUGGAAACGAAUGCUAAUACCUGAUACUGUGAGAGAGCUUUGCGUCCCCUUAGCUAGUUGGAGAGGUAACGGCUCACCAAGGCGAUGAUGGUUAGCCGGCCUGCGAGGGUGAUCGGCCACAAGGGGACUGAGAGACGGGCGUUAGUGCAACGUGAGGCAGGAGUGGGAAAUAUUGGACAAUGGACCAAAGUCUGAUCCAGCAAUUCUGGGUGCAAGAUGAAGUUUUCGGAAGGUAAAGGGCUUUCAGUUGAGAAGCGGUACCAACAGAAGAAGUAACGGCUAAAUCCGUGCCAGCAGCCGCGGUAAUAC
rnacentral:rRNA from 1 species